CAGUCGCCACGGGAAUACGAAGGGUGCAAGCGUUAAUCGGAAUUACUGGGCGUAAAGCGUGCGUAGGCGGUGAGUUAAGUCUGCUGUGAAAUCCCCGGGCUCAACCUGGGAAUGGCAGUGGAUACUGGCUCGCUAGAGUGUGUCAGAGGAUGGUGGAAUUCCCGGUGUAGCGGUGAAAUGCGUAGAGAUCGGGGGGAACAUCAGUGGCGAAGGCGGCCAUCUGGGACAACACUGACGCUGAGGCACGAAAGCGUGGGGAGCAAACAGGAUUAGAUACCCGCGUAGUCCCUGUCUCUUAUAC
rnacentral:rRNA from 1 species